CAGUAACGGCGAGUGAAGCGGCAACAGCUCAAAUUUGAAAUCUGGCUCCUUCGGGGUCCGAAUUGUAAUUUGUAGAGAGUGCUUCGGGCGAGACCUCGGUCUAAGUCCAUUGGAACAUGGUGUCAUAGAGGGUGAGAAUCCCGUAUGCGACCGUGGCUCGAGCCCAUGUGAAGCCUCUUCGACGAGUCGAGUUGUUUGGGAAUGCAGCUCAAAACGGGUGGUAAAUUUCAUCUAAAGCUAAAUACUGGCUGGAGACCGAUAGCGCACAAGUAGAGUGAUCGAAAGAUGAAAAGCACUUUGGAAAGAGAGUCAAACAGUACGUGAAAUUGUUGAAAGGGAAGCGCUUGCAACCAGACCUGCCCGUAGGCGAUCAGCCGCUGUUCUCAGCGGUGCACUCGCUCUGCGAUCAGGCCAGCAUCGGUUUCGGCGGUCGGAUAAAGGCCUUGGGAAUGUAGCUUCCCUUCGGGGGAGUCUUAUAGCCCUCGGUGCAAUGCGGCCAGCCGGGACCGAGGACCGCGCUUCGGCUAGGAUGCUGGCGUAAUGGUUGUAAGCGACCCGUCUUGAAACACGGACCAAGGAGUCUAACAUCUAUGCGAGUGUUUGGGUGUCAAACCCAUACGCGGAAUGAAAGUGAACGGAGGUGAGAACCCUUAAGGGCGCAUCAUCGACCGAUCCAGAUGUCCUCGGAUGGAUUUGAGUAUGAGCAUAGCUGUUGGGACCCGAAAGAUGGUGAACUAUGCCUGAAUAGGGUGAAGCCAGAGGAAACUCUGGUGGAGGCUCGCAGCGGUUCUGACGUGCAAAUCGAUCGUCAAAUUUGGGUAUAGGGGCGAAAGACUAAUC
rnacentral:rRNA from 1 species